AAAACUUGCUCCAAACUGCGAUAAAAAGAUGGAAUCAAGCUUGGCAUCAUCCUCGGUAAGCUUGAGGAGUGGCACCACGCAUGUGCUACUGCCUUAACCUUGCUAAACUGGUUCUAGUGGUGUCAUAGACAGAGAACAAUCCUGGUAGAAGGUUCUAUGGGUGUCCCAAUUACUGGGUUGGUCGAAUGUGCAAAUUUUUUCAAUGGGUUGAUGAUGAGAUUUGUCUGCGUGGUAAGGUGUUUAUCGCAAAACAAAAGCUAACCAUUCUCAAACUUGAGGCUGAGGCAUCAAUCUGCAAGAAGAGGGAGAAGUGUUUGACAGUGUCUUUGAUAUUGACAUUAGUGAUGUAUGGGAUUUGCCUUUGUGUGAUUCUAGCUUUGGUGGAUUAGAUGGGUGGGUUAUGGUGUAGGCAGGAUUAAGGUAGAGAAAUGAAGUAUGAUAGCAUGUCUUGUUUGAAGGUUUGGCAUGCUUUUUGUCAGUGUGUUUCCAUAUUGCAUUAUGGAGCAUUUUGUGGAGUUACGUAUCCCAAUUACCUUGUAAUUUCAGUAUGAAUGAAAAGAAGUUAUCAUGGAUUGAAAUUAAA